rnacentral:rRNA from 1 species
UACAGGGGGUGCAAACGUUGCUCGGAAUCAUUGGGCGUAAAGCGCACGUAGGCGGUUCGUUAUGUCGGAUGUGAAAGCCCUUGGCUUAACCGAGGAAGUGCAUCCGAAACUGGCGAGCUAGAGUACUAAAGAGGAUCGCGGAAUUCCCGGUGUAGAGGUGAAAUUCGUAGAUAUCGGGAGGAACACCGGUGGCGAAGGCGGCGAUCUGGGUAGAUACUGACGC